CAGCAGCCGCGGUAAUACGUAGGGUGCAAGCGUUAAUCGGAAUUACUGGGCGUAAAGCGUGCGCGGGCGGUUAUAUAAGUCAGAUGUGAAAUCCCCGGGCUCAACCUGGGGACUGCAUUUGAGACUGUAUGGCUAGAGUGUGUCAGAGGGGGGUAGAAUUCCACGUGUAGCAGUGAAAUGCGUAGAUAUGUGGAGGAAUACCGAUGGCGGAGGCAGCCCCCUGGGAUAACACUGACGCUCAUGCACGAAAGCGUGGGGAGCAAACAGGAUUAGAUACCCCAGUAGUCCCUGUCUCUUAUAC
rnacentral:rRNA from 1 species